rnacentral:rRNA from 1 species
ACGCACGCUGGCGGCCUGCUUAACUCCUUCAAGUCGGACGAAGAGCGAUGGAAGCUUGCUUCUAUCAAUCUUAGUGGCGAACGGGUGAGUAACGCGUAAUCAACCUGCCCUUCAGAGGGGGACAACAGUUGGAAACGACUGCUAAUACCGCAUACGAUCUAAUCUCGGCAUCGAGGAUAGAUGAAAGGUUGCUUCUACAUGUAAGCUAUCACUGAAGGAGGGGAUUGCGGCUGAUUAGCGAGUUGGAUGGGUAACGGCCCACCAAGGGGAUGAUCAGUAGCCGGUCUGGGAGGAUGAACGGCCCAAUUGGGAAUGAGACACGGCCCAGAAUCCUAAGGGAGGCAGCAGUGGGGAAUCUUCCGGAAUGGACGGAAGUCUGGAGGAGGAAAGCCGCGUGGGUGAUGAAGGCCUUCGGGUUGGAAAGCUCUGUUAAUCGGGAAGAAAGGAAUUCUUGAGAAUAGUGAGAAGGAUUGACGGUACCGGAAUAGAAAGCCACGGCUAACUACGUG